rnacentral:rRNA from 1 species
GUUAUAUGGUCAAGUGAAGAAGCGCAUACGGUGGAUGCCUUGGCAGUCAGAGGCGAUGAAAGACGUGGUAGCCUGCGAUAAGCUUCGGGGGAGUCGGCAAACAGACUUUGAUCCGGAGAUCUCUGAAUGGGGAACCCACUCAGCAUAAGCUGAGUAUCUUGUACUGAAUACAUAGGUGCAAGAGGCGAACCAGGGGAACUGAAACAUCUAAGUACCCUGAGGAAAAGAAAUCAACCGAGAUUCCCUUUAGUAGUGGCGAGCGAACGGGGACUAGCCCUUAAGUGGCUUUGAGAUUAGCGGAACGCUCUGGAAAGUGCGGCCAUAGUGGGUGAUAGCCCUGUACGCGAAAAUCUCUUAGUCAUGAAAUCGAGUAGGACGGAGCACGAGAAACUUUGUCUGAAUAUGGGGGGACCAUCCUCCAAGGCUAAAUACUACUGACUGACCGAUAGUGAACCAGUACCGUGAGGGAAAGGCGAAAAGAACCCCGGAGAGGGGAGUGAAAUAGAUCCUGAAACCGUAUGCGUACAAGCAGUGGGAGCCUACUUUGUUAGGUGACUGCGUACCUUUUGUAUAAUGGGUCAGCGACUUAUAUUCAGUGGCGAGCUUAACCGAAUAGGGAGGCGUAGCGAAAGCGAGUCUUAAUAGGGCGUUUAGUCGCUGGGUAUAGACCCGAAACCGGGCGAUCUAUCCAUGGGCAGGUUGAAGGUUAGGUAACACUGACUGAGGACCGAACCGACUACCGUUGAAAAGUUAGCGGAUGACCUGUGGAUCGGAGUGAAAGGCUAAUCAAGCUCGGAGAUAGCUGGUUCUCCUCGAAAGCUAUUUAGGUAGCGCCUCAUGUAUCACUGUAGGGGGUAGAGCACUGUUUCGGCUAGGGGUCAUCCCGACUUACCAAACCGAUGCAAACUCCGAAUACCUACAAGUGCCGAGCAUGGGAGACACACGGCGGGUGCUAACGUCCGUCGUGAAAAGGGAAACAACCCAGACCGUCAGCUAAGGUCCCAAAGUUAUGGUUAAGUGGGAAACGAUGUGGGAAGGCUUAGACAGCUAGGAGGUUGGCUUAGAAGCAGCCACCCUUUAAAGAAAGCGUAAUAGCUCACUAGUCGAGUCGGCCUGCGCGGAAGAUGUAACGGGGCUCAAACCAUACACCGAAGCUACGGGUAUCACUUAGGUGAUGCGGUAGAGGAGCGUUCUGUAAGCCUGUGAAGGUGAGUUGAGAAGCUUGCUGGAGGUAUCAGAAGUGCGAAUGCUGACAUGAGUAACGACAAUGGGAGUGAAAACUCCCACGCCGAAAGACCAAGGUUUCCUGCGCAACGUUAAUCGACGCAGGGUUAGUCGGUCCCUAAGGCGAGGCUGAAAAGCGUAGUCGAUGGAAAACAGGUUAAUAUUCCUGUACUUCUGGUUAUUGCGAUGGAGGGACGGAGAAGGCUAGGCCAGCUUGGCGUUGGUUGUCCAAGUUUAAGGUGGUAGGCUGAGAUCUUAGGUAAAUCCGGGAUCUUAAGGCCGAGAGCUGAUGACGAGUUGCCAUUAGGCGACGAAGUGGUUGAUGCCAUGCUUCCAAGAAAAGCUUCUAAGCUUCAGAUAACCAGGAACCGUACCCCCAAACCGACACAGGUGGUUGGGUAGAGAAUACCAAGGCGCUUGAGAGAACUCGGGUGAAGGAACUAGGCAAAAUGGCACCGUAACUUCGGGAGAAGGUGCGCCGGUGAGGGUGAAGGACUUGCUCCGUAAGCCCAUGCCGGUCGAAGAUACCAGGCCGCUGCGACUGUUUAUUAAAAACACAGCACUCUGCAAACACGAAAGUGGACGUAUAGGGUGUGACGCCUGCCCGGUGCCGGAAGGUUAAUUGAUGGGGUUAGCUAACGCGAAGCUCUUGAUCGAAGCCCCGGUAAACGGCGGCCGUAACUAUAACGGUCCUAAGGUAGCGAAAUUCCUUGUCGGGUAAGUUCCGACCUGCACGAAUGGCGUAACGAUGGCGGCGCUGUCUCCACCCGAGACUCAGUGAAAUUGAAAUCGCUGUGAAGAUGCAGUGUAUCCGCGGCUAGACGGAAAGACCCCGUGAACCUUUACUAUAGCUUUGCACUGGACUUUGAAUUUGCUUGUGUAGGAUAGGUGGGAGGCUUUGAAGCGUGGACGCCAGUUCGCGUGGAGCCAUCCUUGAAAUACCACCCUGGCAACUUUGAGGUUCUAACUCAGGUCCGUUAUCCGGAUCGAGGACAGUGUAUGGUGGGUAGUUUGACUGGGGCGGUCUCCUCCUAAAGAGUAACGGAGGAGUACGAAGGUGCGCUCAGACCGGUCGGAAAUCGGUCGUAGAGUAUAAAGGCAAAAGCGCGCUUGACUGCGAGACAGACACGUCGAGCAGGUACGAAAAAGUAGGUCUUAGUGAUCCGGUGGUUCUGUAUGGAAGGGCCAUCGCUCAACGGAUAAAAGGUACUCCGGGGAUAACAGGCUGAUACCGCCCAAGAGUUCAUAUCGACGGCGGUGUUUGGCACCUCGAUGUCGGCUCAUCACAUCCUGGGGCUGAAGCCGGUCCCAAGGGUAUGGCUGUUCGCCAUUUAAAGUGGUACGCGAGCUGGGUUUAGAACGUCGUGAGACAGUUCGGUCCCUAUCUGCCGUGGACGUUUGAGAUUUGAGAGGGGCUGCUCCUAGUACGAGAGGACCGGAGUGGACGAACCUCUGGUGUUCCGGUUGUCACGCCAGUGGCAUUGCCGGGUAGCUAUGUUCGGAAGAGAUAACCGCUGAAAGCAUCUAAGCGGGAAACUUGCCUCAAGAUGAGAUCUCACUGGAGCCUUGAGCUCCCUGAAGGGCCGUCGAAGACUACGACGUUGAUAGGUUGGGUGUGUAAGCGCUGUGAGGCGUUGAGCUAACCAAUACUAAUUGCCCGUGAGGCUUGACCAUAUAACACCCAAGCAAUU